AAAAGAGAGUAAAUCCGCGGGAGAAUAGAUUUCCUCUUUUGAUGCGCCGGAGUCAGUCCGAUUCUGACGAGUGCGACGAACUCGAGACAAAGGAUGCAGGCUUAUCGCGUUGUGGCGGUGAUUUUUGUCUUUUCGAUUUUCGGAGCUAAGGGCAACGAUAUCGAAUUUCCCACCGAAGAGAAUUUUCAACCGAACGACGUUACCGAACGACCUGUUGUCAAGUAUGGUAUGGUGACUUGUGAACAAUAUAUUUUGCUUUAAUCGAAUUUUACAGUAUUUUAUUCGAACAAAGUAAUCAUAAUCUUCAUAAUUCCUCAGAUCACGUAACAAAAGCAACGCACAUUCACUUUUCGAACGAGAGCGUCGCGUCGGAGCUGCAGCACACAAUCUGCAGUGUAAAGACGGAGGAAUUCGUCGCCAAAGCCGAAUCGACGGCAUCGAGAAUUUUGCACGGAGUCUGCACAACAGAAGAAAUGAUGAAGACGUUCAAGAACAUGGAAAAAUCAUUUAUGGAGCGGCUUGAAAAGUUGCAGCAGAAUUUGACGGAUUUCAUACAAUCGAAAUUUCAACCUUUCAGUCAGAGGAAGGAAUACGUCAGGACGCCCAAGGCGAAUCCCUUUAAGACAGUAUCUUAUUUUUCAAAUUUUACAUGAAUAUUACAGUCCUUUUUUUUACAUUAUUAUUAUUUUUUUUUUUAUAACGUUCUGGAAAUGAAGCACGAUCUUCCAGGAGUAUAAGUGUAAUUUUAUUUAUAAAAUAUAUAUGUAACAAAUGGACAUAAUAAAUGUUUCGAAAUCAAGAGUAGAAUUUCAUUGUACAAAAAAUCAGAUAAUUUAUGAGGCUCUUAAAAAAUUUUUCGAUGACGAAUGAGUCAAAGGAUAAUUUUUCAUGAAUCAAAUGCGUAAACACCAAUUAUACUUUCACUUCGAUAAACAUCAUAAUUUGUUCGUUAUUAUUUUCUAUAGGUCGCAUCUUCAACAUGUCAUAUAUAGAACAGAUAAUUUCUUUUUUAAAUUUAAUGUACAUACUAUAUACUACAUUGAUUUAUAUAUCAUCUUAUUAAACGUUAACCAAUUUUGUAACUUCAAGUCAAUAAUUUUUCCAUACAUGUUACAUAAUAAUUGAUUUAAAAAAAUGGAUAAGUAUCGAAUACAGCAUAAUUUAAUAUAUGGAACAAUAAACAGUUGCGGAAACCUGUACAUCGAUUCUCGUAAUUAUACACGAAUGGAUAUAUCGAAGGCCUCUGUUUAUAUAAUAUACAUAUUCAUUAAAGAAUAUAGAUAAUACGUAAUAUCUGCGUCGCUUGAACAGCAAUAUGUCUGUAUAGUUGUACAGUAGUACUUGAUUUUUUUUUAUAACUAAUUUUGAUCGGUGUUAUGCUCGAGUAUUUUAUUUAGCCGCCAUUGACAAAUCGGAACCAAAAUAAGAAACAAAUUUAUAGCGAGUCAGUUUUUUCAUUAUUCUAUCAACCAUUUGAUGUCCAAAACAUAUAUGCAUAUCAACGAAUUUGAGUCUGUGAAUUCAUCAGAGGUUUAACGUGAUUCGUGAUUAUAGUCCUAUUAUAAAUAAAAAAUUAUUGCUUUUUCAUUUAUAUCCUUAUCCAUCAAACAAACAUAUUCAAUUAAUAAAUAAAACUCUGAUAAUAUUGUUCGUAAAACUUGGUCACCAAAGGUUCGUGCAAUCAAUUUGAGUAUCGCAACCAAAACCGUCAUACAAACGAUUGUACAUUCCAUAAGCACACUCGAAGUAUAGCAUCCUCGAGCAGCCGAUAUCAUCAUAAAACACAUAAAUAAAUAUAUCGGUGAAUACAACAACGAUCCGACAUUUCGUCGCAUCGUCGAUAUAUACCAGGACUCGCAAUCCUCUCCUCCCACGCGCUCAAGAAAAUGAAAAAAAAAAA